UCAGGUGCCUAUAUCGGCGGUGUCUACCUCUUCCCAUUCCGAACAGAGCAGUCAAGCCCGCCAGAGCCGAUGGUAUUGCCGUAACAGGUGGGAGAGUAGGUCGGUGCCGAAUUUAAUACGGAGCCCGUUGUCGAAAGAUAACGGGCUUUUGUUUUUUAAAAAGUAAAAAGUAAAAA
rnacentral:rRNA from 1 species